rnacentral:misc_RNA from 1 species
AAGUCGUAACAAGGUUUCCGUAGGUGAACCUGCGGAAGGAUCAUUCACUAGGGAGUAAAUGGCUCCUUAAAUCCUCAUUACCCACCUUGUGUGCAUUGUCGAGGGAAAAAAGGGGAGGGUGGAAAAAAAACGAGGAAUUUAUUUCUCGUCCUCCCUCCUUUUUUUUUUCAUUCAUUCACUCUAUAUUUCCAGUAUCAGUCUACGUAUGAGUAUAAAAAAAACUCUAAUACAACUUUCAACAACGGAUCUCUUGGCUCUC